rnacentral:rRNA from 1 species
GACGAACCGUGCGAACGUUGUUCGGAAUCACUGGGCUUAAAGGGCGCGUAGGCGGAGGGUGUAGUCGGUGGUGAAAUCCUUCAGCUCAACUGGAGAAUGGCCUCCGAUACUGACUCUCUCGAGGGAGGUAGGGGCAUGUGGAACUCAGGGUGGAGCGGUGAAAUGCGUAGAUAUCCUGAGGAACGCCGGUGGCGAAAGCGACGUGCUGGACCUCUUCUGACGCUGAGGCGCGAAAGCCAGGGGAGCAAACGGG